GCUUGGAUAGCUCAGUUGGUCAGAGCGUCCGGCUCCAUGCGUCGGAAGGUCGCAGGUUCGAAUCCUCGCUCCAAGCG